UUUUUAUAUAGAUAGAUUGAUGGCAUUUCAUAAAAAAUACUACAGGAAGAGAGAAAACCAAUUUGAUGAUGUUUGGUUCCAACAUAAACUAACAGGGUUUGCAUCUGCAAUUCACAGUUUUGUAAUAGGUGCGAUGUGUAGUGAAUCGCUUUUGUGGGAUCAUAGCUAAAGUCUUACAGAUUGGGAAGCCCACUGGCGAGACGAUCAUUAAAAAUGGACAUCAUAGAAGAACUACGUAGAGAAGCUGACGAAUUGGCGUGUAUACAAAGAGAAGUGCAAGAAAAGGUUAAUCGAGCUAAAGAGGCCGGGGAAGAGAUUGAUGAACAUGUCUACAAGUGGCUUGAGGAAGCCCAAAACAUUGGUGUCAAGGUGACAACUAAUUUGCGAGUUGAUACGAAAGCCAAGUCGACAUUGGUCAGUAAGUUGUUUAGUUGUUAUUGUUGUCGGUUAAAAGAACCCGGGGAAGAUGCCUUGAAAAUUAGAACUGUUGUAGAUGAUUUGGUGGCUCAAGGAAGAAGUAUUUUUCCUGCACAAGGAAUUGAACUAAUUUGGCGCGAUGGUUUUCUUGAUUUUGGAUCCAGGAAAUCAGCUUUUAUCAGGAUUAUGGAGUCUUUAAAGGAUGAGGGCAUUGGCAUCAUUGGUGUUUCAGGAUUAGGAGGCAUUGGAAAGACUAAAUUGGUGACAGAGAUAGGUAAAAGGGCCAAAGACGAGAAAUUAUUUGAUUAUGUGCUAAUGGCAACCGUGACUCAAAAUCCUGACAUUAGACAAAUUCAAUGGACACUCGCUGAUAUGUUAAACCUAAAGUUUAAAGAUGAUGAUGACUCUAGCAGAGCGAAUGAGCUUCGAGCAAGAUUGGAUAAAGAAAGGUCAGUCUUAGUUAUUUUGGAUGAUGUUUGGGAUAUAAUUAAUAUAAAUAGUGUUGGGAUCUUCCCGUAUUUUAAUCAGAAAGGAUGUAAGAUUGUUAUCACAACACGUUGUGAUAAAGUUUGUCAAGAUAUGUGCUGUAAUUAUGUAGUUCGUUUGGAUGUCGUAACUCAUGUUGAAGCAUUUGCUUUAUUCUGUGAGUAUGCCGAUUUGAAAGACCAAAAGUCCAAUCGUCUUCUCACCAAGGCAAAAAUUAUUGUGAAAGAAUGUGGUGGUUUGCCACUUGCAGUGGUAGUAGUUGGAAGUGCAUUAAGGGGCAAAGAUUUAGAGGAUUAUGAAGAUGCACUCCAGAAACUUUCGAGUUCCAACUUUGUAAAUGUAGAAAGUGCUGAUAGUGACAUCUAUUCUUGCCUUAAAUUGAGUUAUGAUUAUUUGGAUGAUGAAGAUACCAAAAAGUGUUUUUUGCUAUGUUCUGUGUUUCCAGAGGAUAGUACAAUAAUGGUAAAGGAUUUGACAAGGUAUGCACAUGGACAAUGGCUAUUUCAAAAUGUUAAUUCCUUUGGUGAAGCAAGGAUGAGGAUUUUUGCAUCGGUUAGAAAACUUGAAGAUGCUUCGUUGUUAACUCAUGUGACGCAUGUUAGACGUCGUAAAGGUAAUUAUUUUCAAAAUUGGCCCAGCAUGAAGAUGCACGAUAUGGUUCGUGAUUUCGCUAUAUGGUUAGCCAAGGAAAAUGCGGCUUUUUUCUUUGUGUUGGCUCCAUCAAACGAUUUGCAAAGGAAGCGAAUGCAUGAGAAUGCAACUGCCUUAUAUUUAACGAAGUUUGACUUAGAUCACCAAUUUCCUACGAAAUUGAAAUGUCCAAACUUGAAAAUCUUGAUAGUUACAAGUCACAUAUCUAUAUCAUCGUUGGAAAUUUUCCAAGAUAAUUUUUUGGAAGUGUCUAAUGCUCUACAGGUUCUUGACAUACGCUCAUACAGUUCUAUGAACAUUAUGUUGCCUCCAAUUUUGCUUGAAAACCUUAAUAACCUUAAAACUCUUUGUCUGAGUGGGGAAUGGCUUUCAAGGUACAAGGACAUGUCUAUGCUAGGGACAUUAAAGAACCUGGAGAUUCUCGAAUUGAAUUUUGGUUUACAACAGAGCAUAUUACCAGAGUGGAUAGGGGAGCUUGGUAACUUAUGUCUGCUUGAUCUAUCUAGAUGGUAUUCAUUGGAAGUGAUACCCUGCAAUUUGUUGUCAAAAUUGACAAAGCUAGAGGAGUUAUAUACACCUUUCUUUCAUACAAGAAGGAAGUGGGAUGCUAAUUUUCUGUCUGAUCUAAACUUUCUGCCUCUUUUGUCUGCCUUUGCUGGCACGUUCGUUGGUUUUCAUUCACUCCCUGCUGGUUUUAGGUUUGGGACUUUGCAAAUGUAUUACAUAAACUGCAGGCCCCGUAUAUUAAAAGAGGAAGGCAUUAGGUGGACAAGAAGUCUGGGACUAGAUGAUAUUAAUGACGUAUCAAUCAAGGUGUUUGAGAAGUUAUUUCCAGAUGUAGAGUGUCUUAAGAUUGUGGGUUCAAACUAUAUACAUGGUAUCGACAACAUGUAUCCACAAAUUGAUGAUGCGGGUUUCCAGAAUCUUAGAGAACUUUUUCUAGGGGAAAUCUAUGGUAUGGAGUGUCUUAUUGAUACAACAGAAACUGGACUAGGAUUAUCUUCCUUGACAACAGUGUUGCCCAAUUUGGUUCAUCUUACACUAGAUAAUAUGCGCCAACUGGGCAAGAUGUUGCAUGGCCCUGCUCCAAUCAGUUACUUGGGAGAGCUUAAAAAAGUUGUGAUCAUAAAGUGCCCUAGAUUGGAUAAUAUAGUCCCAGAUAUGCUACUAGUUGAAUCAAAGAUGGAGGUACUAGAGAUAAAGGAAUGCGCACUCAAGCAUGUGUAUCAGUUGAAUGCAAAAAAUCAUCUGCAACCUCUCCCCAGUCCUGAAGUUAUUGAGUUAAUCGAUCUUUAUGCGCUGCAAAGCCUUUGGAAUAUGCCUCUUCAGUUGGAGUUCACUGACAAGGACAACAAUGUAAAGUUGUGCAAGCAUAUUGUAAGAUGCCUAGACUCUCUCGUUAAGAUGAAGAUACAUAAUUGUUUGGUAUUGGAAGAGGUAUUUCCAUUUGUUGAACUUGGCCACCAGGAAUCCCAUGUGCAACUCUCAAACCUAGUUGAGUUAGAGUUGGCAUUGUUGCCUAAAUUGAAGUUCAUUUGGAAAGGCAAUCAGCAAAAUGUAAGCCUGCAAAAUCUUGAACGCAUUGAUCUGGAAGAAUGCGACACAUUAACUAGUAUUUUCACUUCUACUCUUGCUCAGAGUUUGCAUAAAUUUCAAUUCCUUGUGAUCAAUAAAUGCCAUGCGCUUGAAACAGUUAUUAUGCAAGAUAAUCAAGAUGAAGCAACAACGAAUGCAUUUUCUUGUACUUUCCCAGCAGUCAAGAAGAUUAAAGUAGAAUCAUGUGGCAAAUUAAAUACCCUCUUGCCAAGUUGUUUUGUAGCUAAUGGUCUUCCAAACCUUGAAAGCAUCUUCAUAAAUGAUUGUGCGGAACUAGAGCGAAUAUUUGGAAAUCACGGUGAAGAAAAUGAGGCAGAGGAAGUUCCGCUUGUUGAUCUUAACAACCAGAAUUUUGAUUCUCAACUCCCAAACUUAGCUGAGUUAGAGUUGGCGUUCUUACCUAAAUUGAGGUUCAUAUGGAGUGAUCAGCAGCAGAAUGGCAGCCUCGAAAAUCUUGUACAUGUUGAACUUAAAAAUUGUGAAACCUUGACAAGUCUUUUUACACCCAUUCUUGCCUCGAGCCUGCGAAAACUGCAGCACCUUGUGCUCGAUGGAUGCAGUUCGCUGGAAUCAAUUAUUGUUCAAGAUGAAGCAAUGAGAGUUUCAUAUACCGAUCUGCAGCAAAAAGCCUUCCUACAACUGAAGAAGAUUACUAUAAUUUGCUGCGGCGAAUUGAAGACCAUUCUUCCAGUUUCAUUUAUUUCCCAGGGUCUUCCGCGACUUGAACGCAUUUACAUUGAAGAUUGUGCUAAGAUGGAAAACCUAUUUGGAGAUCUAACCGUUGAUGCACCUGUUGAGUUCAACAAUCAGCAAAAUGCACAAUUCAAAACUUUGGUAGAAUUACAUUUGACAUUAUUGCCGAAACUGAAUUGUAUAUGGAAUGAUUCUCAGCAGAAUUGUAGUCUUCAAAAUCUUGAAUUCAUUUGGCUCCAGAAUUGCGAUGGUUUGACUAGUGUUUUCACAUCCUGUCAUGCGCAGAGCUUGCAAAAAUUGCAAUACCUUCAUGUAGAGACAUGCCAAGCGUUGGAGACGAUUGUUACCGUCAAUGAUCAGGCUGGAGGAACGCAGGGUUCAUGUUUGUUUGAAUUGCAAAACAGCUUCCAAGAAAUCAAGGACAUAACUGUGAAAUCAUGUCAUAAAUUAAAGAAUGUUCUCCCGAUUUGUUUUGUUGCUCAGGAUCUUUCAAAACUUGAAAGCAUUUACGUACGAGACUGUAUAGCGCUUAAACAAAUAUUUGGAGAUCAAGGAGUGGAAGAUGCGGUUGAGGGUUGGAAGCUUAUGAUUAGCAAUCUUAAAGAGUUAAAGCUUGUGAAGUUACCAAACUUGCAUCGUUUCUCGCCGCCGAAUUGUGAUAUUUUAAUCCCCUCGACAUCACUAGAAGGUGAAGAUGGUGACACAGACCUUCUGAAUUUGCUUCCUCGGUCUCAAAAUAAACCGUGCACUUGGAUUUGGCCAUAGUUAAGAGUGUUUAGUUGGAAGCACUUGGAUUUGGCCAUAGUUAAGAGUGUUUAGUUGGAAGUACUAUAAAUGGAAAAGAAAUCAAAGAUGGGGAAGGCAUUCGAAUCUAUUAUUCUGAUGACAAAUAGGAGUGUAAGAUUAUCACCCCUAUGUUGAGGGAAAAUCUUGAAUAAAAUUUGAGAUUUCAAGAGUCAAUUUUGGUAGUAGAGACAAGAGUCUUGAGCUAAGUUAUAAGUUGUCUUGAAUAAAAUAAAAUGAUGUCCCGCAGGGUAAAAGUGUAAAAAAUCGCGUUUUGAGUCGUAUCAAGAAAUAUCUCAUUUGUUGAGAUCGAGAUUGCAAUAGCCGCAACAUUCCUGUCACCGCAUCACCUUUCCAUUGCCAUGAUUGCGAAUGUUACCGACAUUUUUGCACUAUGGCAUAGUUCUACCAUUCAUUUCCACCCAUUUAACAUAGCUUCCAGACACCAGAUCAAAGACGUCUCAUGGAGUUGGUGUGUUGAUUGCUCACAAUGGAGAUCUUUUGAUCAACGUAAUUAAGCGUAUCGACUCAUUAUAUUGUCUGUGACUGUGUGUGUAUGUCGUCUUUACAUUGAAAUUUUUUUGUCUAAUUUGCUGCUUUUGUUAUCAGAAGCUUUAACAGAGAGGAGCUUCAAGACUCAUUAUUACUUGAAUCAAGACUAAUAGCACAACAGUUACAUAGCAUGUCAAAUAAUAAUCUACAUAUUACAAGUCAAGUGUCAAACAGCAAACAAUUAAAAAGCCCUUUCAUAUUUCAGCUGGGCUCAUCAAUUGAACAACUGAUGAUAGUGUUUGAUGAUGAAAAUACGGUUUUUGAUAAAGAAAACGAUAGCAUUUGCUUGUGUGGA